GAUCACUAUGACAAAUUACUAACCGACUAUACAACAGGAGAGAAUCAGAAAGACACAAUCAGGCACGGAACCAAAGUAAGUAAUAAAAACUAAGUUAUUAUGAGCCAUUAAAUGCAUAAUUCUAAAUAUGGGAUAAGGACAGAUUAAUCUUUUUUCACAGACCCAGAUGUUGUUGUCGGACCAUGAGCGAAACAGACUUUAUGAUAAAGACAAAAAGGAGGAGGUUGAGUGUGUUGAAAAUGGUCUUUUGCAGAGCUCGACUCCUCAUCUUCCAACAACAGAAAACCUCUGUGAACAAACAGGAGAAAAAACUGAAAACAUCAAGGAGGGGGACUCGCUUUUGUCAAAGCAGCAUGAAGAUGUUCAGAGUGACGGCGAGAGAAUGACUGCUGAGCUGAGAGACAUCAUCAGCCAGUUCAUGCAUAAGACGGACGAGUUCAAAUUUAGCGUUACCAACAUGACUGUGAGCACAGAUGAACAGCAAAUGAUUUUGAGGAGCAUGAUGGAGGCUCAGGACCAUCUGGAGCGCAAAUACAUGAGUAAGAAAGAAGAGCAUAGAGCUCUGGAGAUGCAGAACUACAUGGGUCUGUCCAGGAACACGGGCACCUUUGACCCAAACAGGCAGCUGGAGGGAGACAUAUUCAGGAUCGGGAUGCACCUCGAGGACAUCAAGGAAAUGAUUGACAAGAAUGUGUACGAGCAGAUUUCUCUACCCCACUCAUCCUCCACCUCCACCCCCAUAACAGCCCAAAUGAAGACUGUUCCAUUUUGCACACCAUCAUCCCCUCCACACCCGCAUCAGGAGGUGAAGGAAUGUUUUCUAAAGGUGAGCUGUGAGACAGAUUCACAGGAGGAAGAAGAAGAGCAGGAGGAGAUGAAGAACAUAAGUGAGGUCCAUUUAAAUGGGGAAUGGAUCCAAAGCAGUGAGAUCAUUGAUGACCAUGUUGGACUCAACAUCUGCAGUUCACGGGACUUACUGGAGGAACCAGACAUCCAGAGAGACACUGAAAAGCUCAGGGCCUCUGUUUUUCAAGAGGUAAUAGAUGACAGCAACAUCCUUGGAUGCCUGAGUGCACGUUCCCCAGAGUCAAGAGGGAGGCGGUCAGCAGCUAACAGCAGUGAUCUGAGCCCGGUCAGGGGUCAGCGGGACAGUCUGAGUCUGGCAGUGGAGGUCUCUUUUACCUCUGAUGCUCUCGGAGACUCAGACAAUCAUGGCCUCUCAGGACCCUCACCACCCAUCUCAUGUGUGUCACAGAUGCAGAGGAUCAUAAGCCCUGAGACAGACAGUGGAUUUGGUAGCUCCUAUCUGACUCAGUCAGCUUCUGGGGAAUUAAAUCUGCUAACAGGGAGUGAGGUUACGAGUGGCUCAGACAGUGAAGGUUCCGGUUACAACCCUCCAACAACCAUCCACUACCAGACAAGUGGUCGGAGGGCCAACCCCCACCAAUGCGUCCAAACGCAACACUGUGGAGCAGAGGAGCUUUGGGGGGAGAGCACUACCAAGGAAUCUUCACUGAAACUGCAAGGUCAUUUCCAGCUGCCCCACCACAAAUCUGAGCCUACACCCCGGACCAUGGAUCCUGGAGACCGGGGCAGCCCACUGCCAUCCUGCUCAUGCAACAGUGAAGCUAUCCUGGCCUUGCAGUCAGAGGUGUCACGGCUGAAGAAGGACCUUGAGGAGGGCUUGGUCCAGCUGCCACACUUAGCCAAAAAGAUGGACUAUCUCACCUCAAAGUAUGGUCAAGAACAUCAGGAGCACAGAAGUAAAAUCAAUUCCCAUCAAGCAGCAGGGUCAAGCAGAACCUCCAGAAGAGCUUUGAGUGAACUCAGCAGCAGUCUGCUGAGGACAGAGGACUGGAUCUCUUCAGACAUGGACCCCAGCAAAAGCACAAGCUCUGUCCGCCCAAACUCCUCCGAUCUCCUGCUGCAAAUGCAUGAUUCACCAGGGGGGAGCAAGAGAGCUGAGAGACACGUUCAUUCCACGUCAGAGUUUCAUCUCAGUAAGCACUCCAGAAGAGGGAGGGCGGAAAACUCAACUUUUCAGAGAGAAGAUGAAUUAUUGUUUCAAAACAAUGAUCAGCAAAGACCUAAAGCCACCAGGAGGUUUGGCUCCAAAGAGAGGUGGUCUUUUCGUUCAGAUUCCACUCUCAAGAAGCCUCUCCUUCAGGUUCACUACGGCUCAACCAGCAGCCUGCCAGCCAGCUAUAAAGUGUGGGAGCCACAGCUUCAGUCUGUGCCUCUUCAUAGAAAGCGCUCCACCCAGUCAGACACUGCACUUCUGCCCAGCAACAUGUUCUUCCAGCAGACAUUGUCUCCGGUGUCACUGUCCUCAAGAGGAACCUCCAAGACAAGCAGAUGCAAAGGAAAAAAGGAGGUGGACAUGAACAGGACACUGGAUCAGGCUAUUGAGGUCGCUCGCAGCAUGAAGAGGACUGCAGACCGGAUGGCUCGACAACUGUCUGCUGACUUAGUCAAGGCUCAGCAGCACAGGAAACUUCACAACAUGCAGCCACCAGGGGGCAGGACUCACCUGGGUUUCUAACAUGUUCAAGCUGCUGUACCCUGAAAAAUACAUUGUGUACAUAUGUCAUGUGAAACAAUACUUUUAGUGCUUUGUGUUAAACGUUAUAUAUAUUAACAUUUUUUAAACACAAACUAUUUAAAAAAAAAAGGUAGACAAGAUCAGGGUCCUGCUUUUUUGAAGUUCAAUACCUGAUUGUGAUGCGAUUUCUUUUAAAGAUGCAACAUGUUCUUUAUAUGUAAGUAAUCCAAAAAUUUAUUUAUGUCUCUUUUCCUAUUUACAUCUAUUUAAAAUUAAUAUAUUUGUUGUUGUUGUUUUUCUAACCAGCGUGUAAAACAGUUACUAAAUAAAUAUUUUGUACUGACAAUUGAAAUGAGUUACUGGUGUGUCAACUGAUCAGUUUCUUUUGUCUCUUCAAUCAAGGCCCACUGUCAGCAGUAAAAAUGGUAUUUUUAAAAAGACUAAAUAUAUGUAGAAGUUAAUUCAUGCUUAACUUACAUUAAGAAAGGGAACCUUAUUAAAAAGUGUUACCAGAGAUAUUUUCAUAGUGCUAUAUGUUAGGUACAAACCUUUAUGUACCUUUUUGUUUCACCUGCAUCUACUUAACAGAUAUUGUGUUCCAGAAAAAACCCUCCCUGUAUUUAGUUUGAACGACCACUGGUUUUUGUCUCUUUUCUAUCGCUCCUUGUUAAAAAGCUCCCCUGCUCAUCCCUGCUGAGAUAUAGAUGCCACUGACAGUGUCUUCUUACUGAGUUUUUGUCGCCUUGUUCCUGUCAGGGCCGCGCCCUGCUGGUGGCGGCCUGUGUGCAGCUCUCUGCUGUGUAGUGUUGAGUUUCUCUGUUGUUCUAGAAGUGGAGCAGCCUAAAUAACUUUCCUGACCGGUGUGCUGCAGCUGCUCCAUUUUUCACCUCUAGGUGAGUGAGUGAGGCUGUAUGAAGAAAAGACCAUCAAACUUGACGAAUGAGACCUCCUGAUGUUUGCAGUCUGAACAGAAUAUAAAUAAUAAAUCAAUGUCAUCAAUUUUAUCACUAAAAUUUAAAGGAUCAUUUUGACAAAACUUAAUCUCACUUUAAAUUUUCAACAUAAAAUGUACAAGAACUAUUUUGAUUCACAGGAAUGACGCCUGGAGUGAAUCCGCUGUGUUGUAAGAAGAAUGUCAAAGUAAAGUGAAAGUUUUGUUAAAUCCACACGUGUGUCCACCGACAUGCCUUUCCAAAAGGCACGCCCCAAUUAUUCCUGAAUUUUUCAAUGAAAAAGUCAAAACCUCUCAUUAAAAAAAAGAAACUUAACUUAACAAAGAAACAUAUUUGAGACCAGAAUGUGCAUCAUUUUUUGUUCUUUUUUGGUUACGUUUUUACCUUGGUAGUCUCUGAAAUUGCAUCUUUCUACCACCAG
rnacentral:lncRNA from 1 species